UGUGUUCCAAGGUCACCCCAG
rnacentral:miRNA from 1 species